UACAGAGGGUGCAAGCGUUGUUCGGAAUUAUUGGGUGUAAAGCGCGUGUAGGCGGCUUGGCAAGUCGGGUGUGAAAUCCCUCAGCUCAACUGAGGAAGUGCGCCCGAAACUGCUUUGCUUGAGUGCCGGAGAGGAUGGCGGAAUUCCCCAAGUAGAGGUGAAAUUCGUAGAUAUGGGGAGGAACACCGGUGGCGAAGGCGGCCAUCUGGACGGUAACUGACGCUGAGACGCGAAAGCGUGGGGAGCAAACAGG
rnacentral:rRNA from 1 species